rnacentral:tRNA from 1 species
GAGGGUAUAGCCCAGUGGUAGAGUGCAUGCUUAGCAUGCACAAGGUUCUGGGUUUAAUUCCCAGUACCUCCA